GCACCGGCCAAUGGCACCGCCCCGUCCGCCCCGCUCUGGGAACGCCGCUCCAGCAGAUGUGACAUAGACUGGAAGUGAUGGACCCAGACAACAAUCAGAACCAAAGCACCAGAUGAGCCACCUCAGCCACGUGAGCCAUGCCAGCCACCCUACCUGUGACCCCAUCUGUGGCCCCAGUUAUCAUGGAGUAGAGCCCUUUCUCUGUCUACAAAACCAACUUCCUCGCCCAGCUCAUGGGAACACUUAUUCUGUUGUAUAGAAUGAAGUGUUGCUUGAUUCUAGAAUCUCUUAGGAACCUAUUCUGGUAACGUGAGCGAUGGGAGUGCACCGGAGUGUGUGAGUUUGCCGGUGGAUUUGCAGAGGGCUGGCGAGCCAGGCCUGGAGCUGGCAGGCGUGAGGGGCUCCCUGGAAAAGACGAACCCAUCUCCCCCACUUCGCUGUGUCACACCAGGUGUCCACUAGAGUUGCCAACUGUGACAGUGUCCGGAGGUUCUCUGGCUGGGGCUCUGAAAGAGACUGACAAAGGCAGAUUAACGAGAGAAAAACAGACACGAGUUUAUUACCACGUGCAUCACGCACACCCAUGGGAACGUCCGCACUUUGUCCCAGGAAUGGGGUCUGUAAUUCAGGGACCUGUAGAAGUUCACAGUGUGAGAGGAAUGAAGUGUCCAAUCUGCAAUCUGAAUCUUCCCUAUGAAAUUUCCACCUGGUGCCCUCCAGCGCAGAUUCUCGCACCCACAGUCCUGCCUUACAGGGCAGACCAUUUCCUCUCUGACAGUACUACCUGUCUGAAUGUUCUGCUUCAAACUGAGUCAAGAUAUGUGAACCCUGGGUAGAAGAAUUAUCAGGUCUGGAGGGAGCACAAGCAAACUAUCCCAUUUUAUGGACGUGGAAACCGAGGCCUGAGGGAGAGACGCACCAGGAAUCAGGAGAUCUGGCUCUGAUCAGCUGUACAAAUUGAGAAUUGUGACCUGACCUUGUCCAACCCAAGUGGCCCAACUCCUAAUUCUGUGAGUGACAUGUCUCUGUUACUUUGGAAUAUUGAUUGAAGAAAAAUCACAAGAGUUUCUAUCUUAUGGCCUCUUUGAAUCUUUGAGAAUUGGCAAAACCCAAAGUCAGAUGCCAUUAAGAACAUUCAUGAUUCAUGAGAGGAGAUCAAAAUAUCAACAUAAACAGGAGUUUGAAAGAAGUUGAUUUCAACCCUUGUGGAUGACUAUGAGAGAUUCAAGGCUUCAGUGGAGAAUGCACCUACAGAUAUGGUGGAAACAGCAAAAGAAAUAGAAUCAGAAGUGGAGCCUGAAGAUUAAACUGAAUUGCUGCAAUCUCAUGAUAAAACUUGAACAGAUGAGGAGUUGCUUCUUACAGGUCUGUGGAUCAACACUGUCUCCCUGGCCUCUACCCAGCGCGCAGGACCCCUUAGCAGAGCAGGAGAACUCAGGAUCCAGCCAGCUGCCGGCACACUUUCGUCCUCCUCCGCACACGAGGAUCCCCAGGCCCAGCGGUGUUAGCCCAGAGAGGAGCGGCGUUUGGGAUGUGAUCCACAGCUGAUCCCUCGUGGCCCCUCCUCUCCCGAAUCCUGAAACAUGAGGAGGCCCUUCAGCUGCUGGCUCGGAGUCCGACUAUGGGAACUUUCUCCGGUCUACGGGGGCAGCAAGGGUCUCGCCUCAGGGACUUGGUUUAUUUAUCUAGCUGGACUCCAUCCCUUAAUAUCCUACUUACAGAGGAAGAGGCUUUAGCAGCUAAAUGCAGCCCCAUCCCCUCCUGUGGAGACUGUGAGCAGAAAAAGAACAGAUAUUUACAGAGGCCCGAGCCCCCCUUGUUGUUUUCUGCAAGGCUGUCGAGCUGGUGGAGCUUCAGGAUCCUGGUCAGGAACCCCGAACCCAGCGCUGGAGGCCCUGAAGAUCAGGGCACCCGACCCUCUUCCCAGCCGCCAAAGGCCUGUGUUGGUCUGAUUGUGGAUUCCAAGCUCUAAUUUCCAUCCAUCCUCCCAAUCCGAAUUCCCUUUGCAGACAUAAACACCAUCAGCAAUGUAGAGAAUGUGUUUCCUCAUCUUUGAAUAUUAACACUCAUCUGUUUAAUUGAGCUACUUUUUACAUACAUGUAAGAUGUGCUGCAAUUGCAAAAGAAACAUGUGCUUCGUGUUCUAUAAGCCAUAUCUUCCGCAAGACCUGCCAUCAAAUGAUUGCUCAAACAUUUGUUGAAUGGGAUGAGCAAUGGAGGUUCAGACAGGUGCCCUGACCUACCCAGGCUGGAGGGUAGGGAGCUAGAAAUUCAUACAACCAUGCCUUGUUCUACUUGUUUUGUGAAAGAAUCAUGUGACCAGUGACAAAGAGGCUGGGCAGCUGGGUCAGGCAGCAGGGACAGCGACUGAGCUGGGGGGACUACAGUGCUGUGCUCCUCUGCACCCGUGCUGGGAUGUCUGAGGCCAAGCUGACACUGGCCCCCCACAAUCCCUUGGGGCUGCUCCUCCUCAGGGAGUGGCUCUCCGGGUUUCCUGCUUGACUCCUGCUGCUCUUGUGUUGAAGGGCCGUCUCUGGGCAGCUCCCCCUGGCCCCUGGCCAGAGAGCCAGGCCCUGUCAGGCACGCACAUGGAGGAUGAGGGAGGUGCAGUUGUUUUCACAGGUGCAGACUCUAGAGGGACCCCACGUGGACUCUGUGGCUUCUGCCCCGACGCACUCGCGGGAGGACACAGCUCUGCCCGGAAGGGAGAGUGCUGAGCUGGGUCCCUGCUGCUCAUCUCUGUGGCAUCACCCUGUCAGUCCUUCCCUGUCACACAUAUGUUCCGCAAGACCUGCCGUCAAAUAUUUGCUCAGUCAAACAUUUGUUGAAUGGGAUGAGCCAUGGAGGUUCAGACAGAUGCCGUGACCUGAAGUGUCAAAUGAAGGGAUGCGUGUGUGAUGGCCUUCACCAUUUAUAUUGUUUUAAACUUGCUAAGCACUAGUUAAAAUAAAA
ensembl:lncRNA TMEM72-AS1 TMEM72 antisense RNA 1